UCUGAGCAUGCGCACUUUCACCGCUUGAUUUUUAAAAACAGUGAUAAAACUUGCAGUGAAAUUUAGCUCGAUCCAGAUUCCAGAACAAAGAAAAAGAGUCUUGUAUAAAAAUUCACAGAGCCAAUGUGUCUGAGGUUGAGGAAUGCAUUGCAGUAACACUUAAGCAUGCACCAGCUAGCUCAAAAAGAUGGACCAAGUUAUAAAAAGAGACCUGAAACCAACACAAGACCAGCUGAUCAGAGGGCAGAAAACCAAAAUUUGGAAUGACAUGUAUACAACCAACACAAGACUAAAAUUUGGAAUAAAAAUUAAAAAAAAAAUCAGAAACAUAUUAUUUUUUUAUUGGUUCAUGUAGCUUAGAAAAAAGAAGUCUUAACUUUUGGAUAGGUCUAUCUCUAGUUGGUCAAUGGAAAAAAAGCAAUAGUUAGUUUGAUUGAAUUUCAGGUAUUUUCUUCAUUUGGGAUAUAUUUAGAAGUGUGUAUAAGUUGUGUAGAAUAUAUAUUUGUAAAUUAGACAGUCAGCUUUUGGGCCUUUUUCCAAACUUUUUUCCUAGCUUGUCAUUGUGUAGUGAAUCCAGCUGAAUGAAUCUACAGUAAAUAUUAAGGUAUAUGUG